GUGUUGAUUUUCUUUGGGUGGACGAGACAAAACCACAUCAGAAGUAAGAACUCGCUCUCAAAACUCGACCUUUGGCGGACGAGAGAGAUUUCAGAUUUGUGUGUGUGUGUGUGUGUCCGUUUUCUUUUUUAAUUCAAUAUACAAAUUAGAGAGAGAGGGAAAAAAAAGUCCAUCGUUGUAAUCAGAAGCUGAAAUGUCACCACGUGUUUCCUACCGAUU